UUACAGGAAAAGAGACUAGAAAUGAACAAAUACACACAGAAUAUGAAGGGAUUCAGCAAAAAAGAAGAUUAUUACAUGGACUAUGGGGUGGAAGGUGAUGAAGAUUAUGAUCAGGUACAGUUGCAGUCAAGAGAAACACGAAACAUCGAGCAAUGGACUUCUAUGGAGACAUCAUCCAACGAGAGACUCCAAAGAGGUCCAUGAAGCUUGUUCUGGUGGUACUUUUGAUCAUAAUUCUUCUCCUAGGACUUGUCGCAACGAGUGUAUUACUUUUUCUUGAGAAAACAAAAA